rnacentral:lncRNA from 1 species
UUGCGAACCAUGUUCUAUCCCGACUAAGUGGCCGUCCUGGGAGUUAUAGUGCCACUAGCCGGCCUCGGCUGUUCCCUGUCCGAGGCUCUUGUCAUUUCCGCUUAUUUCCUCCACGGGUGCCGAUUUCAUGUGUGUGUUCCCGAGUGCCUGAGCCGGCUCCCGAAAUGAGUACUCGUGGUUUCCGCGUGGGAACCAACCUCGAGCGCCAGUGGCCCGCCCUCUCCGGGCUGAGGUGGCUGCUGAGGCUGGGGCUGCUCCUGAGGCUUCAGGGCCGCCCGCUGCACGGCUUUCUACCUUCCCAGGUUAGCCGCGGUCAACUUCUGCCAGGCGGAGCGAGAAAUCGCAUUUUGUCAGAUUAGUUGUCCAGUUCAGACAAACCAGAUCCCCUGUCAGAUUCCUCCAUAGAACUUCUUUACAAAACCACUUCUUGGCAUCAUAAUUGGUGGCAUUUUCCCCUUCGGCUGUAUUUUUAUUCAACUCUUUUUCAUUCUGAA